GCAAGUCGAGGGGUAACGAUUGGGAUUUCGGUUCUGAGGCGACGACCGGCGAACGGGUGAGUAACGCGUAUGCAACCUGCCUUUUACAGGAGAAUAGGUUUCGGAAACGGAAAUUAAUGCUCCAUAACGCUGCACUAUGGCAUCAUAGAGCAGUUAAAACUCAGGUGGUAAAAGAUGGGCAUGCGUAACAUUAGCUAGUUGGUAAGGUAACGGCUUACCAAGGCAACGAUGUUUAGGGGACCUGAGAGGGUGAUC
rnacentral:rRNA from 1 species